ensembl:snRNA U2 U2 spliceosomal RNA
AUCGCUUCUCGGCCUUUUGCUUAAGACGGAGGGUAGUAUCUGUUUUUAUCAGCUUAAUAUCUGGUGGGUUCUCUUUCCGAGGAAAAUACACUAAAUGGGUUUUUAGGAUCAAGAGAUAGAAUAGGAACUUGUUCCGUCUGUUCCACGCUUCCACUUGGUGUUGCAGCGCUUCCAGGAGCGGUGCGUUUCCU